AUUGAACGCUGGCGGCAGGCCUAACACAUGCAAGUCGAACGAGUGGCGGACGGGUGAGUAAUGUCUGGGAAACUGCCUGAUGGAGGGGGAUAACUACUGGAAACGGUAGCUAAUACCGCAUACCAUCAGAUGUGCCCAGAUGGGAUUAGCUAGUAGGUGGGGUAACGGCUUACCUAGGCGACGAUCCCUAGCUGGUCUGAUAGGAUGACCAGCCAAACUGGAACUGAGACACGUUCCAGACUCCUACGGGAGGCAGCAGGGGGGAAUAUUGCACAAUGGGCGCAAUCCUUAUGCAGCCAUGCCGCGUGUGUGAAGAAGGCCUUCGGGUUGUAAAGCACUUUCAGCGGGGAGGCGUUACCCGCAGAAGAAGCACCGGCUAACUCCGUGCCAGCAGCCGCGGUAAUAC
rnacentral:rRNA from 1 species